rnacentral:misc_RNA from 1 species
AGUGCUCUUAACUAUACAGGAGUUGUGAAGAUUUUAAAGAAAUAUGACAAACUCAGUGGGGAGCUUCUUCGAUUGCCUUUCAUCCAAAAGGUGCUUGCGGAGCCAUUCUUCGAAACUGAGGUUCUAAAUAAACUAGUGAAGGAGUGUGAUACACUUCUUAGUCACCUAUUAUACCAAACUGAGCCACUCAAAGUAGCAGGAGGAGGUGGAGGUGGUGGCGGAGAAAGGCCAGUCAAAGUUCCUCAAGAACUUGCAGAGAUCAAGAAUAUGGAGAACAUGUACUUGAGACUUACCUAUUCAGCACUCAGAGUCUUGCAGGAGAUGCGCAGCGGAAGUUCAACUGUCAGCAUCUUCUCUUUGCCACCAAUGAAGACCAACGCCCUCGACAAUGUAUGGAAAAACGCUCCAGUGGUCAUACAAGAAGCAAAGUAGGGGGUUACUCAUGCCUCUUGAUAUACUGUUUUAUUCCCUCUUGCCAAGAAGUACCGAGUGCAGUUGCUGUUCAUGUAUAGCUUUAGAUUUCUGAUAAAUAUAUAUAUACAUACACACAUGUUACCGUUUGUAAUCCAUUGUUUUUGACUCAACGAAUUUUAAGUUAAG